rnacentral:misc_RNA from 1 species
GAUGAAGAACGCAGCGAAAUGCGAUAAGUAAUGUGAAUUGCAGAAUUCAGUGAAUCAUCGAAUCUUUGAACGCACAUUGCGCCCGCCAGUAUUCUGGCGGGCAUGCCUGUUCGAGCGCCAUUUCAACCAUCAAGCCCCAGGCUUGUGUUGGAGCCCUGCGGCUGCCGCAGCCUCCCAAAACCAGUGGCGGGCUCGCUAUCACACCGAGUGCAGUAGUUUACUCUUCGCUCAGGGCGUGUGGCGGGUGCUAGCCGUAAAACCCCCAACUUCUCAAGGUUGACCUCGGAUCAGGUAGGAAUACCCGCUGAACUUAAGCAUAUCAAUAAGCGGAGGA